UACCAGCACCCCGAGUGGUCGGGACGAUUAUUGGGCCUAAAGCAUCCGUAGCCGGUCCUGCAAGUCUUCCGUUAAAUCCAGCUGCUCAACAGAUGGGCUGCGGGAGAUACUACAGGGCUAGGAGGCGGGAGAGGCAAGUGGUACUUUAUGGGUAGGGGUAAAAUCCGCUGAUCCAUAGAAGAACACCGAUGGCGAAGGCAGUUCUCUGGGACGGUACUGACGCUGAGACGCGAAAGCGUGGGGAGCGA
rnacentral:rRNA from 1 species